rnacentral:rRNA from 1 species
UACGGGGGGGCAAGCGUUGUUCGGAAUUACUGGGCGUAAAGGGCUCGUAGGUGGCCAACUAAGUCGGACGUGAAAUCCCUCAGCUUAACUGGGGAACUGCGUCCGAUACUGGAUGGCUUGAGUUUGGGAGAGGGAUGCGGAAUUCCAGGUGUAGCGGUGAAAUGCGUAGAUAUCUGGAGGAACACCGGUGGCGAAGGCGGCAUCCUGGACCAACACUGACACUGAGGAGCGAAAGCAUGGGGAGCGAACAGG